rnacentral:rRNA from 1 species
AUUGAACGCUGGCGGCAGGCCUAACACAUGCAAGUCGAACGAGUGGCGGACGGGUGAGUAAUGUCUGGGAAACUGCCUGAUGGAGGGGGAUAACUACUGGAAACGGUAGCUAAUACCGCAUACCAUCAGAUGUGCCCAGAUGGGAUUAGCGAGUUGGUGGGGUAACGGCUCACAAAGGCGACGAUCCCUAGCUGGUCUGAGAGGAUUACAAGCCACCCUGGAACUGAGACACGGUCCAGACGCCUACGGGAGGCAGCAGUGGGGAAUAUUGCAACAUGGUCGCAAGCCUGAUGCAGCCACGCCGCGUGUAUGAAGAAGGCCGUAGGGUUGUAAAGUACUUUCAGCGGGGAGGCGUUACCCGCAGAAGAAGCACCGGCUAACUCCGUGCCAGCAGCCGCGGUAAUUC